rnacentral:rRNA from 1 species
CCGGCCUGAGAGGGCGACCGGCCACACUGGGACUGAGACACGGCCCAGACUCCUACGGGAGGCAGCAGUGGGGAAUAUUGCACAAUGGGCGAAAGCCUGAUGCAGCGACGCCGCGUGAGGGAUGACGGCCUUCGGGUUGUAAACCUCUUUCAGCAGGGAAGAAGCGCAAGUGACGGUACCUGCAGAAGAAGCACCGGCUAACUACGUGCCAGCAGCCGCGGUAAUACGUAGGGUGCGAGCGUUGUCCGGAAUUAUUGGGCGUAAAGAGCUCGUAGGCGGCUUGUCACGUCGGAUGUGAAAGCUCGGGGCUUAACCCCGAGUCUGCAUUCGAUACGGGCUAGCUAGAGUGUGGUAGGGGAGAUCGGAAUUCCUGGUGUAGCGGUGAAAUGCGCAGAUAUCAGGAGGAACACCGGUGGCGAAGGCGGAUCUCUGGGCCAUUACUGACGCUGAGGAGCGAAAGCGUGGGGAGCGAACAGGAUUAGAUACCCUGGUAGUCCACGCCGUAAACGUUGGGAACUAGGUGUUGGCGACAUUCCACGUCGUCGGUGCCGCAGCUAACGCAUUAAGUUCCCCGCCUGGGGAGAGUACGGA